rnacentral:rRNA from 1 species
AUUGAACGCUAGCGGGAUGCCUUACACAUGCAAGUCGAACGGAGGGGCGAACGGGUGAGUAAUGUAUAGGAACGUGCCCAGUAGCGGGGGAUAACUACGCGAAAGCGUAGCUAAUACCGCAUACUAUUGGAGCGGCAGAUAUCGGAUUCGCUAGUUGGUGGGGUAACGGCUCACCAAGGCGACGAUCCGUAGCUGGUUUGAGAGGACGACCAGCCACACUGGGACUGAGACACGGCCCAGACUCCUACGGUAGGCAGCAGUGGGGAAUUUUGGACAAUGGGGGCAAGCCUGAUCCAGCCAUCCCGCGUGUGCGAUGAAGGCCUUCGGGUUGUAAAGCAUUUUUAGCAGGAAAGCGGUACCUGCAGAAUAAGCACCGGCUAACUACGUGCCAGCAGCCGCGGUAAUAC